rnacentral:tRNA from 1 species
GGGCCGGUCGUCUAGACUGGUAGGAUGGGUCCUUGGCAUGGAUCAGAUCGUGGGUUCAAAUCCCAUCCGGUCCA